rnacentral:lncRNA from 1 species
CAGUCUCAACAUUUAGACCUCGAGUUCGUUUCUAAAAGUAGCUAGUAUGCAUCGAUUAGCCGACAACUUGCCUACAAUCACGCGAAGCAAAUUGCAAAGGAAACAAACAUCGGUCGCAAAAAGGUAAAACUUCAAUUUGUAAGUACAGGAUACGCACGUAAGCACAGGUUUAUAAUUCAUUUGAAAUCAACGUUUAAGGUCCAUUAUCCCAUUACCUUCUACGAAUAUCUGUUUAUCCACUAAUCUUUCUAAUCACUUUAACAAUAAAAUAAAAAAAUCAAUACAGAUUCAUUCCUUCUACCUAAUAAAAGAUAAGCUUUCAUCACUUUUAUCCAAAGUAUCUAUUUUCCCUUCAAAGAGCAAAAAAAAAAAAAUUCAAUAAACUCGAAUACCAAAGCUGUUGCAUAUUCCCAAGCUCGUUAAGAGGCUCGCCGAGAAAGGAUUGACUUAAAACUCUGCACCGUAUCAGUGCCAACGAUCGGGAUCGUUGCGUGCCACGCAAUGAAACAGAAGUAGAAAGGCUCUCGUGAGCAAAGAACCUCCGCGAUAUUUAAUAAGAAAAUAUUUUAAUCCGCAGCCAGUCCGCAGUGCGCAAUGUGCCGCGAAAUUAGGAGCGAGCGUCUAUCGGUCAAGGUAAAUGCGGCGCGCAUUAGACAGGCUGCAAGUUGGCCAGGGAUGAGACGAAGAGAGAUAGAUAGAGAUAGAGAUAGACGCGAGAAGGAAAGAGAUAGGAGGAGGUGUAAGGGUGAAAGCGACAGAGAGGAGGAGGAGGACGAAAUGGGAAAUGGAGGGGGUAGGUGGGAGCCUAAUUGGUCGAAAUUAGCAAGUUUAGUCAUUAGUGGAGUUUCCGGCGGUGGCGGUGGGUCCACUUGACUCCACUUCCUGGGAAAGGAAGGACGGAAGGAAGGUGUGUACAGCUACCAUCGGUUACGCGGUGCCUGGAUAUGCUUCUGGACGUGUCUACGGUGUCUGUGUACGCGUUUGAAUAUACGUAUGGGUGACACCGGCCAAGUUUGCACGCGCGCCAGUCGGCGAGCAAGCGAAGCAGGCGCGAGUUGGGAUACGUCACGGAGCACUUCGUGACCGCAAAUAACUGUUUCCAUUGGAAUCCUGCGGUUUUACACCUUACCGCCGCCACGAUAUCAACGCCUUCACGCGUCGUUUGCAGUACAGGAAAGGAAGGAUUCAGAGUUUGGAUGAAAUUACACAGGACACAGGAGAGGUUGUAUAUAUUUAUUUUGUCUUUAAUGGAAUUGAAAACUGUUCAAGUUAUUACGUAUGCUUAAUGCUUGUUUCUAAAGAGGUGAUAAGUUUUGUCAAAUAUAUAUUUGCAAUCAGAAGGAUUGGAGAAAAGGAAAGGUCAAUAUAUAUGUAUAUAAAUAAAUCAAAUUAAAUUGUUAUAGAGUGAUUUACGAUAAUCUUGAUUGCACGGUUUCCAUUCAAAUUCCAUUCAAAUUCCGGUUACUUUUGGAUCUUGUAUAAUAUAAGAAUAGGAAAAAUGUAUUUUUCCGCAACAUGAUUUAUGUAAGACAGGUAUUUCUAAGGCGUAGCCGUAAGACGAGUGUUUGCGACAGGCCAAUUCGAUAAAUCUAGCGACACACGGUUAAUACCCUGUAUUUAGAUUGUAUUAUCGCGGUCCAGUAAGUCAAGGAUGCAAACGAACGUGUUCCCGAUUCCUCGUAUUUACCAUGAAAACUUUUAACCAACAUUUGGACCGGUGCCCACCCUGAUGAGGACGUUUUACAGCCUAACUAUUCGGGACCCCUUCGUCCCGAAUCUAUCCGUUCAAAAGGCUUUAUAUUAAAUUUGAUAUUAUGGACAGGCUUUAAUUUAAAAGUUUUCGUUUGUAUUUUUUAUCCAAAGAUAAUUAAUUCUCUAUUUACCAAAAUAUUUAUACUCCUACUUAAUAUUCAAUCGGAAUAAAAAUGUUAACAAUUAUUUACAAAAAACUCGUUUUAAUUUCUGCGUUUUAUUUUUCAUAGAUAGAACUUUAUUAUGUAAAUUCGUCGAGGAACAAACAAGUUUAAUAUAAUGGGUAUUCAUUUAAUUUUCCCAGCCAAUUACGCGAGACAAGAUUGUCACAUAGAUGUGUGACUUCGCGAAAAUAAAUUCGUAUCGAAUAUUACACAAAUUUUAAACAAUAUUGCAUGUAUCCUCUCCCUCUCUCUUCCCCCCUCCCACCAACUCUCUCCAUACCCUGCCUCAUAUCUCACUUCAUCUAACUUCACUUCAAACUUAAAUUGCUUACAACUUAACAUAACUCAAGCCUAAACUUUUGUAUAUAUAUCCUCCCCUAAGAAUCGAUCCAACUAAAGGUUUGUCCCAAAAAAUUACAAUAUCAACUCUUUAUACUUAUUAUUUGACCUUAACUCAACUCGCUGAUUCUUCCUGCCAUUUUUUCCUUUUUUUCUCGCAUGUUGAUCGGAUCAAUGCUCGAUUCUCCCCCCAUUGUCCGCGGGAAUGCGCGCACCCCCUAUAUCAACAAUGCACGUCCACGCGCGGAAACGGGGCAUCAGCUGCCGCACGAGGGCCCUUAAUUAUUCUAUUAAACAGGCCGCGGACUUAUUGUGACGCGCGUGUUUGCGCGCGCGUGCGCGAAGGGGGAGAAUGGCGGGGUAAGUAAAGUAGCAGGGCUCCACUCUGAAUGGUGGCAUAAAUUUAUUGUGUGUGGCCCGUGUGCAGGGGCCGGGGGGGAGAGGGAAAGCUG